rnacentral:rRNA from 1 species
UACGGGGGGGGCAAGCGUUGUUCGGAAUUACUGGGCGUAAAGGGCCAGUAGGCGGCCAACUAAGUCGGAUGUGAAAUCCCCAGGCUUAACCUGGGAACUGCAUCCGAUACUGGAUGGCUUGAAUUCGGGAGAGGGAUGCAGAAUUCCGGGUGUAGCGGUGGAAUGCGUAGAUAUCCGGAAGAACACCUGAGGCGAAGGCGGCUUGCUGGGCCUGAUCUGACGCUGAGGCGCGAAAGCGUGGGGAGCAAACAGG